rnacentral:rRNA from 1 species
UACGAAGGGGGCUAGCGUUGCUCGGAAUCACUGGGCGUAAAGGGUGCGUAGGCGGGUCUUCAAGUCAGGGGUGAAAUCCUGGAGCUCAACUCCAGAACUGCCUUUGAUACUGAGGAUCUUGAGUUCGGGAGAGGUGAGUGGAACUGCGAGUGUAGAGGUGAAAUUCGUAGAUAUUCGCAAGAACACCAGUGGCGAAGGCGGCUCACUGGCCCGAUACUGACGCUGAGGCACGAAAGCGUGGGGAGCAAACAGGG